rnacentral:rRNA from 1 species
AGUGAACGCUGGCGGUAGGCCUAACACAUGCAAGUCGAACGGCAGCACAGUAAGAGCUUGCUCUUACGGGUGGCGAGUGGCGGACGGGUGAGGAAUACAUCGGAAUCUACUUUUUCGUGGGGGAUAACGUAGGGAAACUUACGCUAAUACCGCAUAUGACCUACGGGUGAAAGCAGGGGAUCUUCGGACUUUGCGCGAUUGAAUGAGCCGAUGUCGGAUUAGCUAGUUGGCGGGGUAAAGGCCCACCAAGGCGACGAUCCGUAGCUGGUCUGAGAGGAUGAUCAGCCACACUGGAACUGAGACACGGUCCAGACUCCUACGGGAGGCAGCAGUGGGGAAUAUUGGACAAUGGGCGCAAGCCUGAUCCAGCCAUACCGCGUGAGUGAAGAAGGCCUUCGGGUUGUAAAGCCCUUUUGUUGGGAAAGAAAAGCAGCAGGUUAAUACCCCGCUGUUCUGACGGUACCCAAAGAAUAAGCACCGGCUAACUUCGUG